rnacentral:misc_RNA from 1 species
GUGAAUCAUCGAAUUUUUGAACGCAAAUUGCACUCUUCUCGGUUAGUGUGCCUGUUUGAGGGUCAGCCUCUAAAAAAUCAACAUCCUUGCUGUUUCUCGGUGACGUUCGUCGGAACUUGGGUCAUAUUAAUUCGUUUGGGUUUAAGCGACUUAAAAUUUUCUUUUUGAUUCCAUGAACGUGUUUCUAAGAUUUGUUUCUUUACUCGUUUAAGUUCUCGAUUUUAAUUAGAUGU